ACUCCUACGGGAGGCAGCAGUGGGGAAUAUUGCACAAUGGGCGCAAGCCUGAUGCAGCAACGCCGUGUGAGUGAAGAAGGUUUUCGGAUCGUAAAACUCUGUCCUAAGGGAAGAAACAAAUGACGGUACCUUAGGAGGAAGCCCCGGCUAACUACGUGCCAGCAGCCGCGGUAAUACGUAGGGGGCAAGCGUUAUCCGGAAUCACUGGGCGUAAAGGGUGCGUAGGCGGCUUAGCAAGCCAGGGGUGAAAGGCAUUGGCUCAACCAAUGUAAGCCUUUGGAACUGUUAAGCUUGAGUGCAGGAGAGGUAAGUGGAAUUCCUAGUGUAGAGGUGAAAUUCGUAGAUAUUAGGAGGAACACCAGUGGCGAAGGCGACUUACUGGACUGUAACUGACGCUGAUGCACGAAAGCGUGGGUAGCGAACAGGAUUAGAUACCCUGGUAACACAGAG
rnacentral:rRNA from 1 species